rnacentral:rRNA from 1 species
AGAGUUUGAUCAUGGCUCAGGGUGAACGCUGGCGGCGUGCUUGACACAUGCAAGUCGAACGGUAUGUGGCAACACAUAGAGUGGCGAACGGGUGAGUAACACGUGGGAACGUAUCUUUUGCAGGGGGAUAACUGACCGAAAGGACAGCUAAUACCGCAUAAGUCCGGGAGGAGAAAGGUGCAACAGCAUCGGCAGAAGAGCGGCCCGCGGUCCAUCAGCUAGUUGGUGAGGUAAGGGCUUACCAAGGCGACGACGGAUAGCCGGCGUGAGAGCGUGGCCGGCCACAAGGACACUGAGAUACGGGUCCUACUCCUACGGGAGGCAGCAGUGCGGAAUUUUAGAUAAUGGAGGGAACUCUGAUCUAGCGACGCCGCGUGCAGGAAGAAGGUCUUCGGAUUGUAAACUGCUGUGGUAAGGGAAAAAUGCUAUGUAGAGUGGAAAGCUACAUAGAGGGAUGGUACCUUACUAGAAAGCCCCGGCUAACUACGUGCCAGCAGCCGCGGUAAUACGUAGGGGGCGAGCGUUACCCGGAAUCACUGGGCGUAAAGGGAGCGUAGGUGGCCUAACAUGUCAACUGUGAAAACCCGGAGCUCAACUCCGGACUUGCAGUUGAAACUGGUAGGCUUGAGGACGGUAGAGGAAGACGGAACUGCCAGUGUAGGGGUAAAAUCCUUAGAUAUUGGCAGGAACGCCGGUGACGAAGGUGGUUUUCUGGGCCGGUUCUGACACUGAUGCUCGAAAGCCAGGGGAGCGAACGGGAUUAGAUACCCCGGUAGUCCUGGCCCUAAACGAUGUUCACUAGGUGUGGGGAGCGGAAAGCUCUCCGUGCUAAAGCUAACGCGAUAAGUGAACCGCCUGGGGAGUACGCCCGCAAGGGUGAACUCAAAUGAAUUGACGG